rnacentral:lncRNA from 1 species
UGUUUAGGCCCAAUUCUUAAUGAAUUUAACCGAACAUUCGCUAGCGUCAUAACUUUGUUUAGGCCCACAAAAUAAUGGGCCGAGGCAGCGAGCCCACGAAAUUUUGGGCCUAGUUAUUUUCGGGUGUAGGCUAGGUAGAGCUUAGUUAAAAUAUAAUCUAAUUUAAUAUUAUAAAAAAAACAAUUCUAUAAUUGAUAGCACAAUUAACCUUUACAUACCACACAUACAAAUAAAUGUUUCUCAGC